rnacentral:lncRNA from 1 species
UGCAGAUUCAGUUAAAACAUAAAGUACCUGGCGGACUAUUUCUGGAGGUUACAGUUUUGUUAUUAAAAAAAAAAUACACAAAUAAUGGGUCUGGAAGAGGAAGCAUAAUAAAUUUGAGGACUCAGAAGUGAUGCUAAAUUUGGACAUUUGAAGAAGGGGCACAGGAAAGCAAUUCAAAGGCACUUGAGUUAUCAACGUGCACAGAGGAAAUUAAGUAGGAGGCAUGUUGGAAAGGCACCCACUGAUAUCGACCUGGAUGGAAGCCCUUGAAGUCACAGUUCCUCCACAGCAUGGGCUUUGAACUCCUGCGCUUGGGUCUGGCUUCCACAAAGAUGAACUCAGAAUGGAAAAAUUAAAAAAAAAAAAAAAAAAAGUUGGAAGCCAUUGCCACUACAGUGCCAACCUGGCCAGCCACAAGACCAUAAUAUUUUUUAAACUCUGACGGCUAGAAAUGGACACAAAUUGCUCUCUUGUGGUUGCCAGCAGGUUUCUGAAUCAUCUUUGGGUUAGGGCUUCAGUAGACUUUUGAUUUUGCAAGGUCUAGUAAAGAACUUUUAUACACACAAGGAGCCAACCUUCAAUCCAAAA